rnacentral:rRNA from 1 species
GACGAACGCUGGCGGCGUGCUUAACACAUGCAAGUCGAACGGAAAGGCCCUGCUUUUGUGGGGUGCUCGAGUGGCGAACGGAUGAGUAACACGUGAGUAACCUGCCCUUGACUUUGGGAUAACUUCAGGAAACUGGGGCUAAUACCGGAUAGGAGCUCCUGCUGCAUGGUGGGGGUUGGAAAGUUUCGGCGGCUGGGGUUGGACUCGCGGCUUAUCAGCUUGUUGGUGGGGUAGUGGCUUACCAAGGCUUUGACGGGUAGCCGGCCUGAGAGGGUGACCGGCCACAUGGGGACUGAGAUACGGCCCAGACUCCUACGGGAGGCAGCAGUGGGGAAUAUUGCACAAUGGGCGGAAGCCUGAUGCAGCAACGCCGCGUGCGGGAUGACGGCCUUCGGGUUGUAAACCGCUUUCGCCUGUGACGAUGCGUGAGUGACGGUAAUGGGUAAAGAAGCACCGGCUAACUACGUG